rnacentral:rRNA from 1 species
GACGAACGCUGGCGGCGUGCUUAACACACGCAAGUCGAACGGAAAGGCCCUGCUUUUGUGGGGUGCUCGAGUGGCGAACGGGUGAGUAACACGUGAGUAACCUGCCCUUGACUUUGUGAUAACUUCAGGAAACUGGGGCUAAUACCGGAUAGGAGCUCCUGCUGCAUGGUGGGGGUUGGAAAGUUUCGGCGGUUGGGGAUGGACUCGCGGCUUAUCAGCUUGUUGGUGGGGUAGUGGCUUACCAAGGCUUUGACGGGUAGCCGGCCUGAGAGGGUGACCGGCCACAUUGGGACUGAGAUACGGCCCAGACUCCUACGGGAGGCAGCAGUGGGGAAUAUUGCACAAUGGGCGGAAGCCUGAUGCAGCAACGCCGCGUGCGGGAUGACGGCCUUCGGGUUGUAAACCGCUUUCGCCUGUGACGAAGCGUGAGUGACGGUAAUGGGUAAAGAAGCACCGGCUAACUACGUG